rnacentral:lncRNA from 1 species
UCAAGGUUCUGAAAAUCGGACCGGUCAUCAAACCGCUCUAGUCACUGGUUCACUGGUUCAUUGGUCAAUCGGUUUAACCGGUGGUUCAACCAGAAAAAUCGUUUUAAAAUAAAAUAAUAAAUAAAUUAUAAAGGACCAAAGAUGAGGACAUUCCAAGAACUCCUAUUAGAUGCAAUAGCAUUCAACAUUAUCACAUAUUCUCACACACACAAAUACAAACACAAAUACAAAGCCUUACAUCAAAGAACAACCACAGCAAGUGAUUUGGAAAGAAAAUGUAAACACCGAACAAUCACAAGCAUACACAACAUGUGAAUAUUAUUAUAGCAAACAUAAUAACAAAAUAGCUCUUCUAAUGCAUCUCCUAAAAUAUCCCAAAUAAAAAAGGUACAUGAUCUGAUCCACUUGAUUCAGAAAGUUACAUCUAUUAGAAAAAUUAAGAAUCAACUAAAAGAAAAAGAAGAGGAAAGCCUGGUUGAUUCAAUUCAAUUCGCUGAGAGAGUUGGGAUUUUGAUUCAGAAAUCAUGCCGAUGGUGGAUUCAUUUUCAGAGGACAUGAUACUUCCUCCCAAUAUAAGCUCACUGCGCAUAAGCACAUUGAAGUGUCUCAAGAAGCUAAACUACAGAGGUUCCAAUAUCUGAAUGCUCUUCAUACACUUGAAAUUCAUUGCUGUGAUGUCCUUUAUUCCUUGCCUGAUGAAGAACUUCCUUCCACCCUUAAUCAACUUUGUGUCCAAGAAUGCCCUUUGCUGACUCCAAGACUUUUAAACCAAAUAGUGGGAAGGAGUGGUACAAGGUGGCUCGAAUUCCACACAUACAAAUUAAUCACCAAAUACUCUAUUUAGGGAACCAGUUCCAAAGCUAGGCACUCAGGUUAGAGGACUAAAAACACUAUGUACAGGCAACAUGUUAUGCAUUCUGAUGAGGACAAAAGGGGUGAGUAGGAGAGAUUUUGUCACAAAAUCUGAGCAUAAUUAAGUCACAAAAUUACAUAACACAACAACAAUUUGUUCAAUAUUGCAAUUGUUUUUUCUAGGCAUGUUUGUGUACAAGUGUUUCAAGUAAUUGGUUUUUUUCUAUGUAAUCUAAAACACAAAAAACACAAAACACACAACCCUGAGCUGAAUAAUCAAAUAAUCAUCUACAAAUUUUACAAAAACACAAAGCAGCAAUAGCACAGUAGAGCCAGAACCCAAAUUCAGCCUACAGUAUUCAACAAUAUCGUAAAACAGAGUAAGUUUCCAGCAUUAAUAAAAUAACAAAACACUAAAACAGAGUAACAGUUACAUAACAUAGUAAGUUUCCAGCAUAUUAGGUGUUCUGGACUAAAACAGAGUAACAGUUACAAAAAUAGCAAAACACUAAAACAAAUUUCCAGCAUUAGCAAUCCAUAUAUACAUACAAAAACAACAAAACACUAAAACAGAGUAACAGUUUCCACUUUCCAGCAUUAGCAACCAAUCCAUACAUACAAAUUUCGGAAUUUCCACAGUAAUCAGAACCAUACAUACAAAGAAGACCAAAGAACGAGAACGAAGACGGAAGACCGAAGAAGAAGAAUUAAAGAACCAAACUUCAAGCCAAGACCCUAGAAGAAUUGAAGAAAUAUGGAACAAAAAUUGAAGAAGAAAUUCAAAGAAGAUGAAGAUGAGGAGCACUCACCUGGGUUCAAGGAAGAAGCGGCGGUGCUGAGGACGGCGGCGACGAUGAGGGCUAGGGUUCGGGGUUCCUUUACUUCAGAGGGAUAGGGUUCCUUCGCUUCAGAUGAAUGAAUGGCUGAAUGGGAGGGGGGGUUCUG